rnacentral:rRNA from 1 species
GACAGAGGUGCCGAGCGUUAGGCGGAAUCACUGGGCUUAAAGCGUGUGUAGGCGGAUUCCUAAGUACCUUGUGAAAUCCCAUGGCUCAACCAUGGAACUGCUUGGUAUACUGGGUGUCUUGAGCCAGCUAGGGCUACCGGAACAAAUGGUGGAGCGGUGAAAUGCGUAGAUAUCAUUUGGAACGCCAAUGGUGAAAACAGGUAGCUGGGGCUGUGCUGACGCUGAGACACGAAGCCAGGGGAGCGAACGGG